UGGAUCUUUUUUGGCAGCAGGGCUGU
rnacentral:piRNA from 1 species